UACGUAGGGGGCUAGCGUUGUCCGGAAUCAUUGGGCGUAAAGCGCGUGUAGGCGGCUCGGUAAGUCCGCUCUGAAAGCCCGGGGCUCAACCCCGGGAGGCGGGUGGAUACUGUCGAGCUCGAGUCCGGAAGAGGCAAGUGGAAUUCCCGGUGUAGCGGUGAAAUGCGCAGAUAUCGUGGAGAACACCCGUGGCGAAGGCGGGCUUCUGGCUAAUUACUGACGCUGAGGUGCGAAAGCUAGGGGAGCGAACGGG
rnacentral:rRNA from 1 species